UACGUAGGGCGCAAGCGUUAUCCGGAAUUAUUGGGCGUAAAGAGCUCGUAGGCGGUUUGUCGCGUCUGCCGUGAAAGUCCGGGGCUCAACGUCCGGAUCUGCGGUGGGUACGGGCAGAACUAGAGUGAUGUAGGGGAGACUGGAAUUCCUGGUGUAGCGGUGAAAUGCGCAGAUAUCAGGAGGAACACCGGUGGGCGAAGGCGGGUCUCUGGGCAACAACUGACGCUGAGGAGCGAAAGCGUGGGGAGCGAAACGG
rnacentral:rRNA from 1 species